rnacentral:rRNA from 1 species
CCCUUACCCGCUGAACUUAAGCAUAUCAAUAAGCGGAGGAAAAGAAACUAACAAGGAUUCCCCUAGUAACGGCGAGUGAAGAGGGAAGAGCUCAAAUUUGAAAUCCGUCUGGUCUCCAGGCCGAAUUGUAGUUUAUAAAAGUGUUUUCGGGGGCGGAUCAGGCUCAAGUCCUUUGGGAUGAGGCAUCAUAGAGGGUGAGAAUCCCGUUGUGUCUGGUCUUGCUUCUAUGUGAUACACCUUUGACGAGUCGGGUUGUUUGGGAAUGCAGCCCAAAAUGGGUGGUAAAUACCAUCUAAAGCUAAAUACUGGCGAGAGACCGAUAGCGAACAAGUACCGUGAGGGAAAGAUGAAAAGAACUUUGAAAAGAGAGUUAAAAGUACGUGAAAUUGUCAAAAGGGAAACACUUGAAACCAGUCUUGCUCAGAUAGACCCAACCAGUCAGGCGACUAGCAGGCUUCGGCAGAUUAUAGCCCUAGGCGCUGCUCUGGCACAGACCGAGGAAUGCAGUAUAGUCUUGGGAAGCUUUCCGCCGGGUGAUGCAUAACUGUGGACAACUUGUUGAUUACAGCCUUGAUAAGCCUGCACGGUUUGUUUACCACACCUAUGCUUAGGAUGCUGACAUAAUGGUUUUAAAUGACCCGUCUUGAAACACGGACCAAGGAGUCUAACACAUGUGCGAGUUUUUGGGUGUGAAACCCGGAAAGCGUAAUGAAAGUACUAAGGUGGGACCCCGCAAGGGUGCACCAUCGACCGGUCUUGAUAUCUUUGGAUUGAUCUGAGUGGAAGCAUAUUUGUUAGGACCCGAAAGAUGGUGAACUAUACGUGAGUAGGGUGAAGCCAGAGGAAACUCUGGUGGAGGCUCGUAGGGAUUCUGACGUGCAAAUCGAUCUUUGAACUUGCGUAUAGGGGCGAAAGACUAAUCGAACUAUCUAAUGGCUGGUUCCCUCCGAAGUUUCCCUCAGGAAAGGG